rnacentral:rRNA from 1 species
GCCAGACUCCUACGGGAGGCAGCAGUGGGGGAUAUUGCACAAUGGGGGAAACCCUGAUGCAGCGACGCCGCGUGAGUGAAGAAGUAUUUCGGUAUGUAAAGCUCUAUCAGCAGGGACGAAAAUGACGGUACCUGAGUAAGAAGCCCCGGCUAACUACGUGCCAGCAGCCGCGGUAAUACGUAGGGGGCAAGCGUUAUCCGGAUUUACUGGGUGUAAAGGGAGCGUAGACGGCGUGCCAAGUCUGAUGUGAAAGGCCGGGGCUCAACCCCGGGACUGCAUUGGAAACUGGCAUGCUGGAGUGCCGGAGGGGCAAGCGGAAUUCCUAGUGUAGCGGUGAAAUGCGUAGAUAUUAGGAGGAACACCGGUGGCGAAGGCGGCUUGCUGGACGGUAACUGACGUUGAGGCUCGAAAGCGUGGGGAGCAAACAGGAUUAGAUACCCUCGUA